rnacentral:rRNA from 1 species
GAACACCGGCUCUAACACACCCCGGGAAUGAGGUACCUGAAGAAUAAGCACCGGCUAACUACGUGCCAGCAGCCGCGGUAAUACGUAGGGUGCGAGCGUUAAUCGGAAUUACUGGGCGUAAAGCGUGCGCAGGCGGUUGUACAAGACAGGCGUGAAAUCCCCGGGCUUAACCUGGGAAUGGCGCCUGUGACUGUACGGCUAGAGUGUGUCAGAGGGGGGUAGAAUUCCACGUGUAGCAGUGAAAUGCGUAGAUAUGUGGAGGAAUACCAAUGGCGAAGGCAGCCCCCUGGGAUAACACUGACGCUCAUGCACGAAAGCGUGGGGAGCAAACAGGAUUAGAUACCCUGGUAGUCCACGCCCUAAACGAUGCUGACUAGUUGUUCGGGAUUUACAUCCUGAGUAACGUAGCUAACGCGUGAAGUCAGCCGCCU